GGGCCCGCACAAGCGGUGGAGCAUGUGGUUUAAUUCGAUGAUACGCGAGGAACCUUACCAGGGCUUAAAUGUAGUGGGACAGGUCUAGAGAUAGACCCUUCUUCGGACUCAUUACAAGGUGCUGCAUGGUUGUCGUCAGCUCGUGCCGUGAGGUGUCAGGUUAAGUCCUAUAACGAGCGCAACCCCUAUCGUUAGUUGCCAGCGAGUAAUGUCGGGAACUCUAACGAAACUGCCAGUGCAAACUGUGAGGAAGGUGGGGAUGACGUCAAAUCAUCACGGCCCUUACGUCCUGGGCUACACACGUGCUACAAUGGCCGGUACAGAGAGCAGCCACUUCGCAAGAAGGAGCGAAUCUAUUAAAACCGGUCUCAGUUCGGAUCGGAGUCUGCAACUCGACUCCAUGAAGUCGGAAUUGCUAGUAAUCGC
rnacentral:rRNA from 1 species